rnacentral:sRNA from 1 species
CAGCAGCAGCCCGUGAGCAACUCGCCGUUGCCUGACCUGCUGAGCUAGAGCUAGACGG